AUGCGACAGCGAUUGUAAUGGAAAUCCUUUUUACGAUGCGUGCUAGCGAAGUAAAAAGAUUGGAAUAAAAAGCGCGGUUGUCG
rnacentral:sRNA from 1 species